ACGAACGCUGGCGGCGUGCUUAACACAUGCAAGUUGAACGGAACGGCCCUGCUUUUGUGGGGUGCUCGAGUGGCGAACGGGUGAGUAACACGUGAGUAACCUCCCCUUUAUUUUGGGAUAACUUCCGGAAACUGGGGCUACUACCGGAUAGGAGCUUCUGCUGCAUCGUGGGGCUUUGAGAGUUUCUGCGGUUGGGGAUGGACUCGCAGCUUAUCAGCUUGUUGGUGGGCUAGUGGCUUACCAAGGCUUUGCGGGGUAGCCGGCCGGAGAGGAUGAACGACGACAUUAGGACUGAGGGACGCCGCAGAAUACUAUGGUAGGAAGGAGUAGAAAAUAUUACGCAAGGGGCGGAAGCGUGAUGAAGAGACGCCGAGAGCGGGAUGACGGCCUUCGGGUGGUAAACAGCUUUGGACUGUGACGAAGCGUGAGUGACGGUAAUGGGUAAAGAAGCACAGGAUAACUACGUG
rnacentral:rRNA from 1 species